UUUAAUAAUAUUGUUUAUUUGACCCAAUAUAUCCACAAUAUUAUUUCAAUGUGCAAUCAGUACAGAGAAUUAUUAAUGAGAUAUUCUUCAUUUUUUUUCACAUCAAGUCUUCAGAAUUUUAUAUGUAUUUCACAUGUACACCACAUGCCAGUUUAGACUGACCACAUUUCAAGUGCUCGACAACCACAUGGGGCCAGUGGCCACCAUAUUGGACAGCACAGCUCAGGAAGUUAAAAGAAAGGGGUGAGGCUUCUGACAAAGCCAAGGACCCCUCUGGGGAGGCCGGUGGAUCCCAAGGAAUGGUAUUCACCUGAUGGCCUCACCCCCUCUAGGUUCUCUCCUGAUUAUAUUUCAUCCGUGAGAGGUGGUCUCACGGUGAUGAAGGGAGGAAUUCAUGCAACAUUAGCUCACACUGUAUCAAACCAGAAGGAUGAUACGGUUUGGCUGUGUCCCCACCCAAAUCUCAUCUUUAAUUGUAACUUCCACAAUUCCCGUGUGUUGCGGGAGGAACCUGGUAGGAGGUGAUUGAAUUAUGGGGGCCGUUCUUUCCUGCCCUGUUCUCAUGAUAGUGAAUGAAUCUCACAAGAUCUGAUGGUUUUUAAAAUGGGAGUUUCCCUGCACAAGCUCUCUUUGCCUGCUGCAAUCCACAUAAGAUGUGACUUGCUCCUCCUUGCCUUCCACCAUGAUUGUGAGGCUUCCCCAGCUACGUGGAACUAUGAUUCCAAUGUACAGCCAAUGAUGAGCAGCUGCUGGGCUGAAGGGACUGGGGCCAUUUUAUACCAGUUGUAGGAUGUUACACAGAAAUGCCUGAAAAGCAAGGAGCAGCUAUCAGAAUGUUUGGUGACACAGCUCCUCCUGUCGUGGUUCCUUCGGCAUGGACUUCACAUUCAGCAGAUCCAUGAGGUGUUCCCUUUCGGAUGAGCUCCAAGGUCUUAAGAGAGCAUCUCUAGUCUGCGUGAGUCCGUCUGAACGACGGUCCUGAGCAAGAACCACCUAUAACCAUCUGCUCAAAAUAACUCAGGGGAAGUCAAAGCUUUCUAUGUGGAAGGUGACUGAAACCACAUACACAGACCACUGCAGCAUUCCUGACAUUAUGGAACUUGGAAAUGAUUCCAAACAUGGCCAUAGCUUGAGUAACAUGUUUUGCUAUGACAAGAACUUGGACUGUAGUCCUUCCCCCUCUCAAGAAUGUGACAUCACACCUUAUCAGAUCCUACGAGUGAGCUACUGACCUCAACCACUGAACUUCAAACUAUGUAAAAACCUAAGGGUUCGACAGACACUUUGAGAGCUUGGGCUGUGGCAAGCUACACUCUGUCAGCCUCUCUUCGACAGGGCCCCACCCUGCUAGCCUUUGAACUUGGAAGCAUCGCCCACAAACACCAGUGCCACCCUCUAGCCUUGAGGGACCAUAUAUGUCUCUGUGAAUCUCCGUUGCAUUGGACAGCUUCUCUCCCAAGAGCUGCUCUUAUAAAAGAGACACACCACAUUUUAAUGAGGCUUCGCUCUCCACAGAGGCCUGCUUCCAUCCUAAUUGAGCAAGUAGACUUUAGUAACUUUGGAACUCACUCACCCCGUGACUAAUACACCCUGUCUACCCAGCGCAUUCCCUGUGAGAUUUGUUCAUGUUGUUCUCCCCCUCCUUAAGCAUUGUGAACCUAGGAAAAAUAUCAUCUCUGUAGGGCAAUAAACCAUGUGAUUUGUGAAAUCAUA
rnacentral:lncRNA from 1 species